GCUGUGGCUCAAUGGUAGGCUAUCUGCUUGGUAUGCAGAAAGUCCCAGGUUCAAUCCCUAACAGAGGUG
rnacentral:tRNA from 1 species